GACAUAGGUGGCAAACGUUAUCCGGAAUUACUGGGCGUAAAGCGCGUGUAGGCUGUUCGGGAAGUCGGAUGUGAAAGCCCUGGGCUCAACCUAGGAAGUGCAUUCGAAACUCCCGAACUGGAGUCCCGGAGAGGAAGGCGGAAUUCUCGGUGUAGAGGUGAAAUUCGUAGAUAUCGGGAGGAACACCGGUGGCGAAGGCGGCGACCUGGGUAGAUACUGACGCUGAGGUGCGAAAGCGUGGGGAGCAAACAGG
rnacentral:rRNA from 1 species